rnacentral:rRNA from 1 species
UACGGAGGGUGCAAGCGUUAUCCGGAUUCACUGGGUUUAAAGGGUGCGUAGGAGGGCAGGUAAGUCAGUGGUGAAAUCUUCGAGCUUAACUCGGAAACUGCCGUUGAUACUAUCUGUCUUGAAUACCGUGGAGAUGAGCGGAAUAUGUCAUGUAGCGGUGAAAUGCUUAGAUAUGACAUAGAACACCAAUUGCGAAGGCAAGCUCGUUACACGAAUAUUGACUCUGAGGCACGAAAGCGUGGGGAUCAAACAGG